GACGAACGCUGGCGGCGUGCUUAACACAUGCAAGUCGAACGAUGAAGCCGGAGCUUGCUCUGGUGAAUUAGUGGCGAACGGGUGAGUAACACGUGAGUAACCUGCCCUUGACUCUGGGAUAACUGCGGGAAACUGUAGCUAAUACCGGAUACGACCCUCGGAGGCAUCUCCUGGGGGUGGAAAGAAUUUCGGUCAAGGAUGGACUCGCGGCCUAUCAGCUAGUUGGUGAGGUAAAGGCUCACCAAGGCGACGACGGGUAGCCGGCCUGAGAGGGCGACCGGCAACACUGGGACUGAGACACGGCCCAGACUCCUACGGGAGGCAGCAGUGGGGAAUAUUGCGCAAUGGGCGAAAGCCUGACGCAGCAACGCCGCGUGCGGGAUGACGGCCUUCGGGUUGUAAACCGCUUUCAGCAGGGAAGAAGCCGCAAGGUGACGGUACCUGCAGAAGAAGCACCGGCUAACUACGUGCCAGCAGCCGCCGUAA
rnacentral:rRNA from 1 species